rnacentral:tRNA from 1 species
GUCCAGGGAUGGGAAUCGAACCCAACAAUGUUCCGCUUACCGGGCAGAUGCCAUGUCCACUAGGCUACCCUGGA